rnacentral:sRNA from 1 species
GGCCCUUGGUAGCUUAAUGCGCACACAUUUUUUUUACAGAAGACGCGAGAACAUUUAUUACACGAGCCAAGGAUACUAAUAUCAAAACUUUCAACAACGGAUCUCUUGGUUCUCGCAUCGAUGAAGAAUGCAGCGAAAUGCGAUAAGUAAUAUGAAUUGCAGAUUUUCGUGAAUCAUCGAAUCUUUGAACGCACAUUGCACUUUUUGGUAUUCCAGAAAGUAUGCUUGUUUGAGCGUCAUUUCUCCCUCAAACCCAUGGUUUGGCAGUGAGCAAUAACGAGGUUUUGCUUGAAAUUCGCAGGUGGUAAUAUCCAAGUUUUAUUACUGCAACGCAAUUUUGACCUCAAAUCAAGUAGGACUACCCGCUGAACUUAAGCAUAUCAAUAAGCGGAGGA